GUCCUAGCUUCGGCUGGACAUAUACUAAAAUUGGAACGGUACAGAGAAGAUCAGCAUGGCCCCUGCACAAGGAUGACAAGCAAAAUCGUGAAAAAAGGGGUUCU